rnacentral:lncRNA from 1 species
GCAGGGUCAAUGCGGAGAUUAUCCACACAGGCUGUUGCCUCUUCUCAAUUCAGUGCGGCUGGCUCCACCCCCAGUCAUAAAGAGACGCACUUUUCAGGGCGAACAAGGACAGGCAGGAAUCCAAGGGCCUCCAGGACCACCUGGGCCACCAGGUCUCCCAGGGACUGCAGGACUACCUGGCCCAACAGGACCAACUGGGAAAGCAGGAGAACCCGGGAAGCCAGGCAAAGAUGGAAAGGGUUUGCCAGGACCUCCUGGACCAAAGGGAGAUCCAGGAGUUCAGGGAUAUCAUGGAAGAAAGGGUGA